UAUGUUUCUGCAAGUCUUGCAUAUUCAGCCAUUGUUAAUUCCUGGACUGAAAUGUGUAUAUAAUUGUGAAUUCCCUUAAUUCUGUUAUUGUUCUGUGGUUCUUGUCAUCUCUGUCAGGAUUUUGCAGAUGUAGGUAAAACAUUAGCGAGUAUGAUCUGUUGGCACUUCUCCCCUAAUCAUUCUGAGCGUCUGUUUUUAUUUUUAAGGCACUGUACCUUGUAGUAAGUAACAUUUGCAUCUGCCACUUAGUGUCUAUAAAAUUGGUUUAGGCAAUGUGGCAAUGUUUACUCUUCCCUUCAGUAGACAACCAUUUCACAGUUGUGGACACACUGUGACAUGUGACAUAUGGACACACUGUCCAGUGUUAGAUUACUAUUAGCUGUAUCCAAAACUGGAGUCCUGACUGUCUCAAUACAAAAGCAGGAUGACUAAGAAGCAGAAAUAGAUGGAUUUUGAGUAAGUGUUGUUUGUGUGUCUAUUAAGAGACACUGAAGAGCAAUAUUUAAAAUGUCAUAUAUGUAAGAGAAAACUUAAUGUUUUCCUUGUGGUAAUUCUGCUGUAGUAUACUGCCUUUUGUUUCGAGUUCAUAAUUUGGGGAGAAGCGUUUUUUUGAUUUAUAUAUGUUAUACAGCUUAUAGAAUGGAAGAUAGAGCAGUUUUUCUUAUUAAGUAUUAUACAUUUUCAGUGGGUGUUAGAGGCAAUGAAUGUCUUAAAAUUUUUUGCUGGGUCGUAUUAGUUAUUUAAACAGGUGAACUUUAUAUACCUGCAUAUGAUACAGGGUUUCUUAUGCCUGCUGGCCUUCUGAUAAUUAUGGUAAUCUGUACAGGUUGUGUAUAUCAUUUGUUUUUAAAUGAUGCUAUAAGGGAGCCAAGAGAUUCCGAGAUAAUGACUGGGCUAGUUGAUCCUUAAUUCCACAGGAAGAAACAGACAAUAUAAGGUAAACAGAUGACUUCAUACUAUGAUAUGUGCUAUGAAGAAAAUAGUGAUCGCAGGGAGGUAGACAGGAAGUAGGAAGUGGUCAAGGGAAGGCUCUUUUGCAGGGUGUAACUUGUGAAUUGACACCUAAAGCAUGAGUGGUCAACCAUAUAAGGAAAGAAUUCUAUGGCUUAAAGUUGGGGGAAAAUACUAGACAACCAUUUUUCUAGAAAGAAUCCUUUUUUUGGUCUUUUUGUGCAGUCCUUAAAGAUACAUACUUUUAACCUGCUUUUUCAAGGUGCACUCACUUCAUAAUGAUUCAAUUUCAGUUCCUUGUACAGAAUUUUUAAAAAAUAUUUUUUUUCUUUCCAAGGCCCUUGAGUAGUCAUCAGUUUAACUGAGCUUUACAUUCCUUUCAUCUCGUAUAGGAAUCUCAUGUUUCUGUUAAACUGAUUUUACUCAUUACCCUCAGAACUUAUCAUCCUCUGCUUUCUGACUUAUCUGCUGUUGCCCAUAGUUUCUCUUGACUGAAGUUUAUUCUUAAGUACACAAUUAAAUCUCUUAUGUUAAAUAAUCUCUAUAGUCUCUCUUACUAUCUUAAUGUAGUUGAGAGUUUAAGUGUAUGAGACAUGAAGGCAUAGUGCAUACUUACUUGAAGAUUACUUCGCAUUCAUUUUUCACCUAUUCUUAGAUAGAGGAAUGCUAUGAGGCUUCCAAAAUUGAAAUCAACUACUUCUUGCUCCAUUGAAUAAAGUCAGAAGGUAAAAAUUACUUGGAGAGACCUAUAGGCAUGCCAGGACCUGUCUCUCUCUCUUUUCUGUAUAAUGUGUCUCUGAAACCAUUAGCAUGGGAAAGAAUAAUACUUGGUUUUUCAGCUACAUUGUGUAUUGCACACCCUUUGAAAAUAUAACUUGAUAACUUUUUCUAAAACUGCUUCUGUUAUUUUU